UACGUAGGGGGCGAGCGUUGUCCGAAGUUACUGGGCGUAAAGCGCGCGUAGGCGGUUUCUUAAGUCUGAUGUGAAAGCCCACGGCUCAACCGUGGAGGGUCAUUGGAAACUGGGGAACUUGAGUGCAGAAGAGGAAAGUGGAAUUCCAAGUGUAGCGGUGAAAUGCGUAGAGAUUUGGAGGAACACCAGUGGCGAAGGCGACUUUCUGGUCUGUAACUGACACUGAGGCGCGAAAGCGUGGGGAGCGAACAGG
rnacentral:rRNA from 1 species